rnacentral:rRNA from 1 species
GAUGAACGCUAGCUACAGGCUUAACACAUGCAAGUCGAGGGGAAACGACAUCGAAAGCUUGCUUUUGAUGGGCGUCGACCGGCGCACGGGUGAGUAACGCGUAUCCAACCUGCCCAUCACUUGGGAAUAACCUUGCGAAAGUAAGACUAAUACCCAAUGACAUCCCACGAAGCCAUCUGAAUGGGAUUAAAGAUUUAUCGGUGAUGGAUGGGGAUGCGUCUGAUUAGCUUGUUGGCGGGGUAACGGCCCACCAAGGCAACGAUCAGUAGGGGUUCUGAGAGGAAGGUCCCCCACAUUGGAACUGAGACACGGUCCAAACUCCUACGGGAGGCAGCAGUGAGGAAUAUUGGUCAAUGGGCGAGAGCCUGAACCAGCCAAGUAGCGUGCAGGAUGACGGCCCUAUGGGUUGUAAACUGCUUUUAUAAGGGAAUAAAGUGGGUCUCGUGAGACUUUUUGCAUGUACCUUAUGAAUAAGGACCGGCUAAUUCCGUG